rnacentral:lncRNA from 1 species
AGCCAACCUGUUACCUGCCCAGCCUGCUCUCCUCCAGGUAUAACUCUACCCUAGCCAACCUGUUACCUGCCCAGCCUGCUCUCCUCCAGGUAUAACUCUACUGUAGUCAACCUGUUACCUGCCCAGCCUGCUAUCCUCCAGGUAUAACUACUGUAGCCAACCUGUUACCUGCCCAGCCUCCUCUCCUCCAGGUAUAACUACCCUAGCCAACCUGUUACCUGCCCAGCCUGCUCUCCACCAGGUAUAACUCUACUCUAGCCAACCUGUUACCUGCCCAGCCUGCUCUCCUCCAGGUAUAACUCUACUGUAGCCAACCUGUUACCUGCCCAGCCUGCUCUCCUCCAGGUAUAACUACUCUAGCCAACCUGUUACCUACCCAGCCUGCUCUCCUACAGGUAUAACUCUACUGUAGCCAACCUGUUACCUGCCCAGCCUGCUCUCCUCCAGGUAUAACUACUCUAGCCAACCUGUUACCUGCCCAGCCUGCUCUCCUCCAGGUAUAACUCUACUGUAGCCAACCUGUUACCUGCCCAGCCUGCUCUCCUCCAGGUAUAACUCUACUGUAGCCAACCUGUUACCUGCCCAGCCUGCUCUCCUCCAUGUAUAACUCUACUGUAGCCAACCUGUUACCUGUCACGCCUGCUCUCCUCCAGGUAUAACUCUACUGUAGCCAACCUGUUACCUGCCCAGCCUGCUCUCCUCCAGGUAUAACUACUGUAGCCAACCUGUUACCUGCCCAGCCUGCUCUCCCCCAGGUAUACCUCUACUGUAGCCAACCUGUUACCUGCCCAGCCUCCUCUCCUCCAGGUAUAACUUUACUGUAGCCAACCUGUUACCUGCCCAGCCUGCUCUCCCCCAGGUAUAACUACUGUAGCCAAC